CCAGAGCCUGCCCUAGGGCUGCUGGGCCAGCAGCGUUUCCCCAGAGCCUGCCCUAGGGCUGCUGGGCCAGCAGCGUUUCCCCAGAGCCUGCCCUAGGGCUGCUGGGCCAGCAGCGUUUCCCCAGAGCCUGCGCUAGGGCUGCUGGGCCAGCAGCGUUUCCCCAGAGCCUGCCCUAGGGCUGCUGGGCCAGCAGCGUUUCCCCAGAGCCUGCCCUAGGGCUGCUGGGCCAGCAGCGUUUCCCCAGAGCCUGCGCUAGGGCUGCUGGGCCAGCAGCGUUUCCCCAGAGCCUGCCCUAGGGCUGCUGGGCCAGCAGGAUGAAGCAGGAUCAAUGGAGACUCCAUUAGGGCAAAUAUAUCUGCUUAAUCUGGAGAGCCUGCAGCUCAGAUCCCCAUUCCCCCACCCCCCCCCAGGCCUCCUAGCUUUGGGAUGAGUAUCUCUGCAGGUGCUAUGACCCUGCAGGGUUGAGCUGCAGGGUUGAGUGCAGGGUUCAGUAGUCCUGCAGGGUUGAGUAGUUCUGUAGGGUUGAGUGGUCCUGUAGGGUUGAGUAGUUCUGUAGGGUUGAGUAGUUCUGUAGGGUUCAGUAGUCCCGCAGGGUUGAGUAGUUCUGUAGGGUUGAGUAGUUCUGUAGGGUUGAGUGGUCCUGCAGGGUUGAGUAGUUCUGUAGGGUUGAGUGGUCCUGCAGUGUUGAGUAGUCCUGAACAGUUGAGGUUGAGUGCAGGGUUGAGUAGUUCUGUAGGGUUGAGUGGUCCUGCAGGGUUGAGUAGUUCUGUAGGGUUGAGUAUUCUUACAGGGUUAAGUAGUUCUGUAGGGUUGAGUAGUCUUGUGCUCAAUCUUCUCUGCUCGAAUAAUGGCAGCAGAAUGAUUUCCAACCCUCAUGAAAUGUGUCCUCCUGGUGUCCCCUGUCCUCUCUGUGUCCUCCUGCUGUCCCCCUCUCCUCUCUGUGUCCUCCUGGUGUCCCCUCUCCUCUCUGUGUCCUCCUGGUGUGCCCCUGUUCUAUCUGGGCCGAAAGCGAGAGCAGGAUUGGGGAUGGCACCCGGGGGGCGUGGCUGGUGGGCGUGGCCGGUCGCAGGCAGAUCUGGUCACUGCGCACUUUCACACCGUUGUACACUCUGCAGCUGCUGCUGUUUACCACCGUGAAGCACAAAGGCUGUCCUUCAGAGGCACUUCACCUCUCCCUCAUUGUUAUAGCAACAGUCCCCAAGGUUACUGGAAGGGUGGGGUCAAAAGUUACACUAGGCCUCUGACCACACCCACCCCUCCUCUCUGUCACUCUGAUGAUUCAGUUUAGCGGAACUGAGCAGUGGUGUCCAAAGCCAACUGUGUGUUAUUUUAGCCAAUGGCGUGUUAGUAUGACACUGAGUGAAGGCUCCGUAGACACCAUUGAUUGGUCCACUUUGUGACCUCUUGUUAGCCAAUGACCAAGCCGCACUAUUCAGGAACAAACUGCCCCUGUUGUUUAAAGACAUGGGCUAAACUUGCUCUCUGGGAACAGUUUUCUCUGUCAGCUUGAUACCUUUUCUACAUUUUGUGCACAUGUAAUUUAUUUGUACUGAAGUUAUGACUGUUUUGAGUGUCGCGUCUUAUUGUAAUAAUCAGCCUUAAAGAAAAAACUGUAUGAAAAAAAAAAGUCGCACAUUAGGCUAUGUGAGUACUGUUGGUUCGGUUGGAUACUUGUACAUGUGUUGGGGAGUGGCGAAAUAGGCGUUGAUUUGUGGUAGAUUAGUGAUCAGAGCUACAGCGUGCUCCUGUUUCGGCUGUAGAAAGGGCUAGUUUACAUUUAUGUGAGCGCACCGUUGCCGGCUCCUUGAACUAUGACAUCACCGUGCUGGUGACAUCACCAUCUUUUGAAGGCACUGAUCGCGUUUUGGAAGUGGUACUGUUAAGGGUACAUUUGUGUGUGUUGUCGCACUGAACAAAUUAAUACAUGCUGUCAACGAUGUAUACUGUGUUUCCAGCCACCUAAUCUCUUAUCUAUGAAGGCGGGCAACGCAUAUAAUUUGGAGUUUUGAUAAUCUGAGGGUAACUGAAAAUGUGCUGAAGUGAAAUUACUGGCCUCGUGACUGGAGUCAUAACUUUGAACUGAUCCAUUCAUUUAUUAUCUUCCGGAGUGGCCACGUACUUGCCUGACUGUUUAAACCGUUAAAAAUGUGUGUGUGUGUGUGUUGUGUGUGUGUGUGUGUGUUGUGUGUGUGUGUGUGUUGUGUGUUGUGUGUGUUGUGUGUGGGUGGGUGUGUGUGUUGUGUGUGUGGGUGUGUGUGUAUGUGUGUGUGUGUGUGUGUGUGUGUGUUGUGUGUGUGUAUGUGUGUGUGUGUAUGUGUGUGUGUGGUGUGUGUGUGUGUAUCUGGACAUGUCAGCUUAAAAGGACGGGGGGGGGGGGGGUUACGAGAUUUUGCCUAAAUUGUGGUUACCUCAUUUUGAAGAGGUAAUUUGAUAAUUUAACGAACCAGAGUAAAUUAUGCAACGUAUAGAAUGUUGCUGUUUUUUGACGUAAUUGAAUUGUACACUCGUUUUGUGCGUCAUACAGACGUGUGUAAAUUGUGGCUAGAUUGGUAACUAUUUUUCAUCGUGUUGUGAUGAAUCGCGUUUUUUAAUUAAUGAGACUAUAACUACUAGCAAAUAUUUGUACGACAAAAGAAUGUAUUUAACAAAAUAAAAAAAUUAACCAAGGUAA